GGGUGGAUUAGUGGCGAACGGGUGAGUAACACGUGAGUAACCUGCCCUUGACUUGGGAUAAGCCCGGGAAACUGUCUAAUACCGGAUAGGAGCGCCUGUCGCAUGACGGGUGUUGGAAAGAUUUUUCGGUCAUGGAUGGACUCGCGGCCUAUCAGCUUGUUGGUGAGGUAAUGGCUCACCAAGGCGACGACGGGUAGCCGGCCUGAGAGGGUGACCGGCCACACUGGGACUGAGACACGGCCCAGACUCCUACGGGAGGCAGCAGUGGGGAAUAUUGCACAAUGGGCGGAAGCCUGAUGCAGCGACGCCGCGUGAGGGAUGACGGCCUUCGGGUUGUAAACCUCUUUCAGCAGGGAAGAAGCGAAAGUGACGUACCUGCAGAAGAGCACC
rnacentral:rRNA from 1 species